AGAAGGAGACCCCGAAGCUCCCCUGGGCAGCCUGUGCCAGGGCUCUGCCACCUCCACGUAAAGCUCUUCCUCAUGUUGAGGUGCAAGAUGCUCCCAGCUGGAAGCUGGUAAAGCAUCCAGAAGAGAGAAGAAGAGAGAGUGAUCUAGCAAGAUUGUGCUAAUGAAUGGCUAUGACUGACUCCAUCAAUAGUUAGAAUAAAUUAGAACAAGAGUGUGAACUCUCACCUUGAAUUUUAAUAAAAGCCUGAGAUUUUAACCAUGUCUGGCAAACUCACUUCUAAAAUCUCUUCUCUGUUUUUGAUGUUUGCUGCAAUGUUUUGUUUAGCAUUAUUGUUUAAACAUAACACUUCCAAAUUCAUUACUUAUUCCAGUAUGAAAAAUGUGUACCAAUCGCUUGCUUUCUGUUUCACUGGUCAUCAAAAGCAAUUCUGCUGGAAGCACAGUACAUAACCGAGGCCUGCAAAGAGACUGUCAGCCCCAAUUAGAGAUCAG